rnacentral:rRNA from 1 species
UACCCCAUAAUAUGGGCUCUCCGCAUGGAGGGUCCAUUAAAGAGAGCAAUUUUGGUUACAGACGAGCAUGCGCUCCAUUAGCCAGUUGGCGGGGUAACGGCCCACCAAAGCGACGAUGGAUAGGGGUUCUGAGAGGAAGGUCCCCCACAUUGGAACUGAGACACGGUCCAAACUCCUACGGGAGGCAGCAGUGAGGAAUAUUGGUCAAUGGUCGGCAGACUGAACCAGCCAAGUCGCGUGAGGGAAGACGGCCCUACGGGUUGUAAACCUCUUUUGUCGGAGAGUAAAGUACGCUACGUGUAGCGUAUUGCAAGUAUCCGAAGAAAAAGCAUCGGCUAACUCCGUGCCAGCAGCCGCGGUAAUACGGAGGAUGCAAGCGUUAUCCGGAUUUAUUGGGUUUAAAGGGUGGCGUAGGCGGCACGCCAAGUCAGCGGUGAAAUUUUCGGGCUCAACCCGGACUGGUGCCGUUGAAACUGGCGAGCUAGAGUGCACAAGAGGCAGGCGGAAUGCGUGGUGUAGCGGUGAAAUGCAUAGAUAUCACGCAGAACCCCGAUUGCGAAGGCAGCCUGCUAGGGUGCGACAGACGCUGAGGCACGAAAGCGUGGGUAUCGAACAGGAUUAGAUACCCUGGUAGUCCACGCAGUAAACGAUGAAUACUAACUGUUUGCGAUACAAUGUAAGCGGUACAGCGAAAGCGUUAAGUAUUCCACCUGGGGAGUACGCCGGCAACGGUGAAACUCAAAGGAAUUGACGGGGGCCCGCACAAGCGGAGGAACAUGUGGUUUAAUUCGAUGAUACGCGAGGAACCUUACCCGGGCUCAAACGCAGGGGGAAUAUAUAUGAAAGUAUAUAGCUAGCAAUAGUCACCUGCGAGGUGCUGCAUGGUUGUCGUCAGCUCGUGCCGUGAGGUGUCGGCUUAAGUGCCAUAACGAGCGCAACCCCUAUCGACAGUUACUAACGGGUCAAGCCGAGGACUCUGUCGAGACUGCCGGCGCAAGCCGCGAGGAAGGUGGGGAUGACGUCAAAUCAGCACGGCCCUUACGUCCGGGGCGACACACGUGUUAAAUGGCAGGUACAGAAGGCAGCCAGUCAGCAAUGACGCGCGAAUCCCGAAAACCUGUCUCAGUUCGGAUUGGAGUCUGCAACCCGACUCCAUGAAGCUGGAUUCGCUAGUAAUCGCGCAUCAGCCAUGGCGCGGUGAAUACGUUCCCGGGCCUUGUACACACCGCC